rnacentral:rRNA from 1 species
CCUACGGGAGGCAGCAGUAAGGGAUAUUGGUCAAUGGGGGAAACCCUGAACCAGCAACGCCGCGUGAGGGAAGACGGUUUUCGGAUUGUAAACCUCUGUCCUCUGUGAAGAUGAUGACGGUAGCAGAGGAGGAAGCUCCGGCUAACUACGUGCCAGCAGCCGCGGUAAUACGUAGGGUGCGAGCGUUAAUCGGAAUUACUGGGCGUAAAGCGCUCGUAGGCGGUAUGUCAAGUCAAGGGUGAAAUCCCCGCGCUCAACGUGGGAACUGCCUUUGAAACUGGCAAACUGGAGUGUGUGAGAGGAUAGUGGAAUUCCAGGUGUAGGAGUGAAAUCCGUAGAUAUCUGGAGGAACAUCAGUGGCGAAGGCGACUAUCUGGCACAUAACUGACGCUGAGGAGCGAAAGCGUGGGUAGCAAACAGGAUUAGAUACCCCUGUAGUC